rnacentral:tRNA from 1 species
GGAGGGAUAACUCAGUGGUAGAGCACAUGGUUAGCAGGCAUGAGGUCCUGGGUUCAAUUCUCAGUACUUCCA